GCGGUCGCAGCCGCGGAGGAGUGAGUCGUGGUGGUUGGCGGCGGCGGCCGGUGGAAGGCGCUCGCUCGGGAACGUGGUUUAUCCCAGGCGCGUCGGAGACGUCGCUUCAGUUUCCGAUCAGCCCGACAACCGGUAGGGUCGGGCUGUCCCUGAACGUCUGAUCGGUGGGGUUGAUUGAAAAUGGGCUUUCGGAGGCGUUGCCACUUCCAGAACGGCAGCGGCUCUGGCGUGGCUUGAAUCGAAGGAACAGUGCGCGGUGUUUUCUUCGACCGGGCCGUUUUGGUAGUGGUCGUGUUGCAAAGAAAAUCGUUUUCGAAAACUGCCGGUGAAGACGUGGAGCUACGUUUCGCGUGUCUACGAAAUAGCGGAGUAGUUGGUCUUCCGAAGAAUCCCGGAGAUUGACCAAGGGACAGUGGCAAAGAACUGGCGGUGUGUGAGGGCUCAACACGGACACGCCAACGACCAACGCAGGCCGGUUGAUUGAUUGUUUACUUUUCCCACGGCUGCUCUUUGACGAGACAUUGCUCGCGCGUUUGUGCAAUAGAGCGCUUUCGGUUUCGGCGUGCUUGGACUCAACUAUAAGCAGACACUAGCGCGACGUUCUGGGGCCUGAGAUGGUGUCGUAGAACUCGCGUCGCACUUGACCGCCUUUCAAGAGAAAUUCGAAAGAAAAAGCGUCGGGCUUUGGAACUUAAGACCGUGAACUGGGACUCGGUGAACCGCAUUGUUAUGCCAUUUGCGCACCAGUGCGAUAUGGAUUGUCACUGAUCGUAAGUCCGGUCAACCAACCACCCUCUACGUUUCGAAUGCAUCAGAGGAGGAAGUGUCACUUCAAAGCGCUCCGUUGCAAUACAUAGCCAACGUGGGAUAGAAGGAGCAAGUGGCUCCUCGGUUGCAACGCUGCUUGUACGCGAAGGAAAACGAAAGUGCUACGUCAGCGAGGACUUUGCAUUCUGCACAACAGAUUGGAUUUGCCCGGUGACUUAAAGGAAAAAAGCAUUAUAAGUAGACGCCGUUGUGAGCCCUGGGUCGCCGUUGCACCGACCGCGAGCCGAGACAAUUGGAGCCCGUGAAAUCGAUCUCGGCUCCGUUUCGCGCCACCGAUACAGAAAGAGAGCCCCGGGUGCUCCCCGGGAGAAAGCGUCGCGCUUUUCGAUUGUUUACGGAGCCGGUACACCGCGCCGUUGACGCCUUCUUCUCCCGCUGCAGGCCGAUAACACCGGCAGAAGGAUCUUCAGGCGGGAUUUGAGUUGAACCAGUGUUUGAUCCGGCCUGUGUACACAGUGUUUGUCUCGGACGUCAAACGCACGACUGUCGCGGCGAUUCGUCCGAAAGCUACCUCGAGUGGGUGUUGUGACCGAGAGUGACGUACGUGACGUCGAAGAAAUAUCGUCGCACGUUUUUCUUUGUGACGGUCGGCUUGCCCUCUCCUCUGAAUCCGCCGGUUCAUCGUGGUUUUCCUUCUCGCGUCCUUGGGGUGACGCUCGGUGUCGACAUCCUUAUCUAGACGGAUAAAUGCCGCGCUCGUGGACUCCAAAGAAGGCCGUUUCGAAAAUGGUGCCAACUGUCUAGCAAAGGACGGCAUAUACGGGUGCAUACAAGAAGUCGGCGUGAAAGCUUUGCGGGGUACCUGAAGGAUUAUUGGUGGUUCCCCUUGUGGACUGCGUCAAGAACCGUUCGGCACUGUGCCUGCUGACGCCGUCUUCGAAGCAAUCACUCAGUGAUAUUCUGAUAGUACUUGAUUUCCUAGCGUCUGCGGACCCAUACGCACUUGUUGGUCGCGGCGAAUUCCGCAUUGACAGAGUCAAGCUUCGACAAGAAACCUCGCAGCACCACAGCAUCUGCUACUUUCGGCUGAUCUUACUGGACGUUCGGGC